rnacentral:rRNA from 1 species
AUUGAACGCUGGCGGUAGGCCUAACACAUGCAAGUCGAACGCGAAAGUCCUUCGGGAUGAGUAGAGUGGCGGACGGGUGAGUAACGCGUAGGAAUCUAUCCUGUAGUGGGGGAUAACGUUUCGAAAGGAACGCUAAUACCGCAUACGCCCCAAGGGGGAAAGCGGGGGAUCUUCGGACCUCGUGCUAUAGGAGGAGCCUGCGUCGGAUUAGCUAGUUGGUGAGGUAAAGGCUCACCAAGGCGACGAUCCGUAGCUGGUCUGAGAGGAUGAUCAGCCACACCGGAACUGAGACACGGUCCGGACUCCUACGGGAGGCAGCAGUGGGGAAUAUUGCGCAAUGGGCGAAAGCCUGACGCAGCCAUACCGCGUGUGUGAAGAAGGCCUCGGUUGUAAG